UACGGAGGAUGCAAGCGUUAUCCGGAAUGAUUGGGCGUAAAGCGUCCGCAGGUGGCAAUGUAAGUCUGCUGUCAAAGCGUCUGGCUCAACCAGAUAAAGGCAGUGGAAACUACAUAGCUAGAGUAAGGUAGGGGUAGAGGGAAUUCCUGGUGUAGCGGUGAAAUGCGUAGAGAUCAGGAAGAACACCGGUGGCGAAAGCGCUCUGCUGGACCUUAACUGACGCUGAGGGACGAAAGCUAGGGGAGCGAAUGGG
rnacentral:rRNA from 1 species